rnacentral:rRNA from 1 species
UACGUAGGGACCAAGCGUUGUUCGGAUUUACUGGGCGUAAAGGGCGCGUAGGCGGCAAUUCAAGUCAGCUGUGAAAUCUCUGGGCUUAACCCAGAACGGCCAGCUGAUACUGCUUUGCUAGAGUGCAGAAGGGGCAAUCGGAAUUCUUGGUGUAGCGGUGAAAUGCGGUAGAUAUCAAGAGGAACACCUGAGGUGAAGACGGGUUGCUGGGCUGACACUGACGCUGAGGCGCGAAAGCCAGGGGAGGCAAACGGG